rnacentral:tRNA from 1 species
GAGAGGGCCUUACGCGGCAGCAAGAACUGCUAAUCCUAGGUCCUUUGGGUAAAUUCCAAAGCCCACUCG